rnacentral:rRNA from 1 species
UACGUAGGGAGCAAGCGUUGUUCGGAAUUACUGGGCGUAAAGGGCUCGUAGGUGGCCAACUAAGUCAUACGUGAAAUCCCUCGGCUUAACCGGGGAACUGCGUGUGAUACUGGAUGGCUUGAGUUCGGGAGAGGGAUGCGGAAUUCCAGGUGUAGCGGUGAAAUGCGCAGAUAUCAGGAGGAACACCAAUGGCGAAGGCAGCUCGCUGGAACGGUACUGACGCUGAGGCGCGAAAGCGUGGGGAGCGAACAGG